UACGUAGGGACCAAGCGUUGUUCGGAUUUACUGGGCGUAAAGGGCGCGUAGGCGGCGCUGUAAGUCACUUGUGAAAUCUCCGGGCUUAACCCGGAACGGUCAAGUGAUACUGCAGUGCUAGAGUGCGGAAGGGGCAAUCGGAAUUCUCGGUGUAGCGGUGAAAUGCGUAGAUAUCGAGAGGAACACCUGAGGUGAAGACGGGUUGCUGGGCCGACACUGACGCUGACAGCGCGAAAGCCAGGGGAGCAAACGGG
rnacentral:rRNA from 1 species